ACAACAAGCCAAGUCCACAUAUGGCGACUGAGUCGUUUGGAAUUUCCAUGUAGCAAUGAAAAAGUCUUCAAUUACGAAAAAACCCCAUUUGCCUAACCGACUAACACGUACGAGACUCGAUAUGUCACACUAAAACGUCUAUUUUUGUGAAUUAAUCGAAUGCUCUAGACGUGUAGAGCCAAGAUUCACUCAAACAUGACAUCUUGAUAAGUGUACAAAUUACAAAAUAUUAACUCUCGAUAACGAGAAGUUAAGCACAAAACUCAACUAAAAUCCUAGCAGGGUUACAACAGAUGUUCAAAUAAACGUUGAAUAUAGAGGAAAUGAUAUGCAUAUUUUUAUUAUAAGAUUGUCACAAGGUCGAGCAUCUUUCAAUUCCAAUAGGGAUGAUCAUGAAUCAUCUUAUAAUACACAGGGCGCUGUGGAUAUCCGCUACUACCAUAACUUGAUGAAGCAUAGCACGUAACUUCCUCAUCCUCAUUAUUAUUAUUCAUUUUCUGUACACUUUCUAAGGAGGCAUUGCCAACUUUAUUCCUUAAUGCUGUUGUCAGUUUGAAUGGAUCAACUCCAUCUCUGAUCACCAUCACUCGAUCUUUAUUCGGCCCUUGGAUUACUAUCGAUGUUACACAUAUUUAAUGAACAUAACAAAUUAAUUAAUAUGCUAAGUAAACUUGAUUAUGAUUAUUAAUCAUGAUUACUGUUGGACCAAAAAUAAAAUAAGUCUAAUAAGGCCCAUCUAAUAGAUUUCCUCCCAAUUAAGCCCACGAAGUGGUGGACAAAUGACCUAGAAAGAUCCUCCUAAGUAACAAGGUUUCAAAGCUUAAAAGGAGCCAAGGUCCUAGAUUCCUAUCCUAAGACAAAUCACCUAGGAUAAAUCAACUAGGUGGCAAGGAUUAAAAGUCCAAAACGUGUUGAGGUUCUAGGCUCUUAUCCUAGGACAAACCUCCUAAGUUUGAAGGCUCUUAUGAUCCCAAGGUCUUAGUAAAAAUAACCUAAGGAUAAAACAUUCCUUCCUCUAAUUUGUAGACAAGUUUGUAUAUCCAUGUGUCAAUCCACAUGAGCACUAGAGGACAAGUGUUGCCAAAUGUCACAAGGACAAUGACAUUUGUCAUCAAAAUAACUAGGACUCAAGUCAAAUCAGUUUGGUUGAUAAAUAUGUCUUUCAUUCACAUCAAAAGGUAAGACAAAAAGAGACUCAAAAGGAAAAAAUGCUAACUUUCUCCCUCUAAUCUUUCUCUUUCUAAAUUCAUAUUUCCAAAAGUCCGAUGACUGACUUGACCGUCGGAGGGUUUACGCCGGCAAAGCCGGCCCUCUGAUAAUUUUCUUGUGUUUGUAGAGUAUCACAGGACAAUGACCUUCUGAUUGCCUAAGGAAGUGGACUCAGAAGAGUAUAUACAAAGGCCCAUAAAAGAUCAGCCUAAAGAAUGAACUCACCAUCAUAAGUUGGGACAAAAUUUGCACCAACAGUUUGGCGCCGUCUGUGGGGACCUUUCGAUAAAAGUCUUGGAAGCCCUACCAUGAGCAUGGAUUCUAACAAUGAGUACUAUAACCUUGAGGCUGAUGAUGAAAGUUCCAGAGUGGAUGAGGAUGUUCACUUCCGACGAAGGAGACGACAACGAGACCUAGAUGAUGAUGAUGACGUGGUGCCUAUCCAUCUUCCUCCAGAUCCUCAUUUGAAUCCACCUCACCACGCUAGACGUCGAGGACAGCCUCGUGUUGUUCGACUUCAACAACAAGUGGAUCAGUUGGCUCGUAACUUCAAUAGAAUGUUCGGCCAAUUUCCAGCUCGAGCUGAGGAAGGCGAGAACUCAAGUGGAGGUAAUGUGGUUGAUUCCGACUCCUCUAGAACAAGGUCUAGAGAAGAGUUAAAUGAAGAUGAUCUCAGGCAUUCCCUUAACCAAAGAAGAUCUAGGAGGAGAAUGACCAGAGAAGGUUUAGACCAAGGAGAGGAAGUCGACAAAGGAUUACAAGAAAGGAUGCAAAGACUUGAGCAAAUGGUUUGAGAAAUGGGCCCACUUGAUGAUGUAACAGCAGAACAUGAGCCACCAUUUACUUUUGAUAUAAUGGUAGCAAAGUAUCCACCUAGGUUUCAUUUACCCCAAAUUAAGGUCAUGUCACGCUAUUUACCGUUUGCUUUCGCGAUAAUCUUCAUGACUUUGAUUCUGCAUUUUUCAGGGGUCAUUUGCACCUUUAUGACUAUCCUUUGCUGCACCAUUAUGUAAUAAGAAUUGAGAUGUACUAGUGUAUGUUAACUCUAGCCACUAGCUAC
rnacentral:lncRNA from 1 species